CCCUUUUGAGAAACUAUAAAAUGAGCACUGAUACAGGUGCAGUAUUUCGUUCUCCUCCUGAUCAAAGAUGGAUCUGCAAAUCUUAGUUUUUCUUCUCUUCCUUCUUUUCACUGCAGGACACUCUCUCAGCUGUUAUGAGUGCUUGGGUCUGACGGGUUCUUGUGCAGAUCAGAAGUUAAAAACGUGUCCUAGUGGAUCUUCUCAGUGCUUGAGUACAACAGCUGUGGCACAAGUUGAUGACAUUAGUAUUAAAGCGAAGGGUUGUACUCCUGCCUGUCAAAGUGGGUCCAUCAACUUAGGCAUUGUAAAGACGACUAUUUCCUGCUGUAACACAGACAAGUGUAACCUCCAAGAUGCUCCAGAUCCCUCUAACAUCCCCAAUGGAAGAAUAUGUUACUACUGUGAUAAUCAGAGCUGCAAAAACACAUUGAUCUGUUCAGGGGACGAAGACCACUGCAUUAAAGCAACAGCACCUUUUGGAGGCCAUCCAAUAAUGUUAAAAGGCUGUGCCUCUAAAUCAUUUUGUGAUGGCAUAGAAUUUGAUCUUGGUGUUGUGAGCAUCUUAUGUUGUGAGGGGAACCUGUGUAACGGUGCUCAUAGUGUCAACCAGAGACCGGAGCUCUAGCACAAUUCAAUGGCGAGUCAAUCGUGCCAUGAAUAACCUAUACCGAAGGAGACAGUCGUGUACUUUUAUGUGAGAGAAGGGGCACGUCGCCACCACAGACACGUGACACCAACGUCUGAGAACAAAAAAUUAUUCUUACUCUCAUUUUUUUUCUAGCUUUUCUUAUCUUUUCUUUGUUUCUUAUCAAUCAUUGUUAACUUUUUCUUUUACUUUCCUGUGUUCUGAUGACAUUAUAUAUAUUCUUAAUACAUAUUGUGUAGCUAUUGUAUACAAAGUUGUAUGUUAUUAAUGUUCAUCUACUGUUUACAAGCAUAAUAAAAAAAAUUAUUAAAACUACUCACUUUCUUCUGGAGAUUAAGAACUAUGUGCAAAUUAAACAGUUUUAUUUCACUA